UACGUAGGGAGCAAGCGUUGUCCGGAUUUAUUGGGCGUAAAGAGCUCGUAGGCGGUUCGGUAAGUCGGGUGUGAAAGCUCUGGGCUCAACCCGGAGAGGCCACUCGAUACUGCCGUGACUUGAGUCUGGUAGGGGAGCACGGAAUUCCUGGUGUAGCGGUGAAAUGCACAGAUAUCAGGAGGAACACCGGUGGCGAAGGCGGUGCUCUGGGCCAGUACUGACGCUGAGGAGCGAAAGCGUGGGGAGCGAACAGG
rnacentral:rRNA from 1 species